CCAGACAGACAUUAAGACAGACUGGUCUCUCAGGUCUCUCCCAGACAGACAUUAAGGCAGACUGGUCUCUCCCAGACAGACAUUAAGACAGACUGGUCUCUCAGGUCUCUCCCAGACAGACAUGAAGACAGACUGGUCUCUCCCAGACAGACAUGAAGGCAGACUGGUCUCUCCCAGACAGACAUUAAGACAGACUGGUCUCUCCCAGACAGACAUGAAGGCAGACUGGUCUCUCCCAGACAGACAUGAAGGCAGACUGGUCUCUCCCAGACAGACAUUAAGGCAGACUGGUCUCUCAGGUCUCUCCCAGACAGACAUGAAGACAGACUGGUCUCUCCCAGACAGACAUGAAGGCAGACUGGUCUCUCCCAGACAGACAUUAAGGCAGACUGGUCUCUCCCAGACAGACAUGAAGACAGACUGGUCUCUCCCAGACAGACAUGAAGGCAGACUGGUCUCUCCCAGACAGACAUUAAGGCAGACUGGUCUCUCCCAGACAGACAUUAAGACAGACUGGUCUCUCCCAGACAGACAUGAAGGCAGACUGGUCUCUCCCAGACAGACAUUAAGGCAGACUGGUCUCUCCCAGACAGACAUGAAGGCAGACUGGUCUCUCAGGUCUCUCCCAGACAGACAUUAAGGCAGACUGGUCUCUCCCAGACAGACAUGAAGGCAGACUGGUCUCUCCCAGACAGACAUGAAGGCAGACUGGUCUCUCCCAGACAGACAUUAAGGCAGACUGGUCUCUCAGGUCUCUCCCAGACAGACAUUAAGGCAGACUGGUCUCUCAGGUCUCUCCCAGACAGACAUUAAGGCAGACUGGUCUCUCAGGUCUCUCCCAGACAGACAUUAAGGCAGACUGGUCUCUCAGGUCUCUCCCAGACAGACAUUAAGGCAGACUGGUCUCUCAGGUCUCUCCCAGACAGACAUUAAGGCAGACUGGUCUCUCAGGUCUCUCCCAGACAGACAUUAAGGCAGACUGGUCUCUCAGGUCUCUCC